GGGCGUAAAGAGCUCGUAGGCGGUUUGUCGCGUCUGCCGUGAAAGUCCGGGGCUUAACUCCGGAUCUGCGGUGGGUACGGGCAGACUAGAGUGCAGUAGGGGAGACUGGAAUUCCUGGUGUAGCGGUGGAAUGCGCAGAUAUCAGGAGGAACACCGAUGGCGAAGGCAGGUCUCUGGGCUGUAACUGACGCUGAGGAGCGAAAGCAUGGGGAGCGAACAGGAUUAGAUACCCUGGUAGUCCAUGCCGUAAACGUUGGGCACUAGGUGUGGGGGCCAUUCCACGGUUUCCGCGCCGCAGCUAACGCAUUAAGUGCCCCGCCUGGGGAGUACGGCCGCAAGGCUAAAACUCAAAGGAAUUGACGGGGGCCCGCACAAGCGGCGGAGCAUGCGGAUUAAUUCGAUGCAACGCGAAGAACCUUACCAAGGCUUGACAUGUUCUCGUUCGCCGUAGAGAUACGGUUUCCCCUUUGGGGCGGGUUCACAGGUGGUGCAUGGUUGUCGUCAGCUCGUGUCGUGAGAUGUUGGGUUAAGUCCCGCAACGAGCGCAACCCCUGUUCUAUGUUGCCAGCACGUGAUGGUGGGGACUCAUGGGAGACUGCCGGGGUCAACUCGGAGGAAGGUGGGGACGACGUCAAAUCAUCAUGCCCCUUAUGUCUUGGGCUUCACGCAUGCUACAAUGGCCGGUACAAUGGGUUGCGAUACUGUGAGGUGGAGCUAAUCCCAAAAAGCCGGUCUCAGUUCGGAUUGGGGUCUGCAACUC
rnacentral:rRNA from 1 species